GCCUGGGUAGUUCAGUGGUAGAACGCUUUCUUGGUAAGAAAGAGGCCGAGAGUCCGAUUCUCUCUCCAGGCU
rnacentral:tRNA from 1 species